GUAUAUAUAGAAGACCAUUUAUUAGGGAACGAGGGCUUAAUCUAGGAUGUCAGAAAAGGUUUCACUGGGGAAGUGAUGAUACUGAGUUUAGAUUUCAAAUAAGAUGGGGAUGAGGGGGAAGGAGGGAUCCAGAGCAGCUGAGUAGCUUGAUUGGAGCCUUUGUGAUAGGAAGGAGCAUGCACACUGAGAAAGGUUGUGAGAAGAUUCAAUCAAUGAACAUUUGAAGAGCAUCUAAAGUACAUCCUGGCAGACGACUUUGGACCUUUAGGACCCAACUGGAUGAAUUGGACCUGUGGGUGAGAUGUCCAUUAUUAGAAGUCAUUGUUACCCUGGAUGAUUAGUGAUAAUUACACACAGAAGUUACUGAAAAACUCGGGACACUGAGCCCUGAAAGGGUUGAGGAAUGCUAAUUCAGGGCUUGCUUGCUAUCAUUUUACACCCCUGGAAAUGACUUCAGGAUAUUUUAGUUCUCUGGAGACAGGAUUGAAACAACUGACAUCUUUCUAGUGGGGAUGGGAACUAAAGCAUGAUCAGAAAGUGAAAUCAUGAACUCUUUGGACCUUGAGUAACAUGAGCAUUAAUCUUAUGAAUUUUAAAAAGUAGGCUUGACUCAUCUCUGCCUCCCAUCAUAAACACUUUCCUCCCAACUCCAUGUAUAUUAAGCAUGCAUCUUGCAAUGUAAUGGAUAUCCCAGGUUAGAUUUUAGUUUAAUCCAUCAAACAUGUCCCUAAGCAUGCGGAAUUCUGUGUUAUACUCACCCUGGGAAAAAUUGUGCAAGAUCAGGCAGUCAUGACAGGACAAGUAGGACUCUGGGGACUCUGGUUUUUCAGGCUAUCACAUUCCUGUCUUGCUUUUCGUUUUCCUGAUUUCAGGUAAUUAUCAUCCUCGCUAAUCUAACACAUAGCACAAAAGCUUAGCUUGUCCCCCAGAUCUGCAGUUCAGAUUUCCUCUGGGUUUUUGUUUCAGUUCCCUCCUCCUUUCUUUUAUGAAUCAAUUCCUCAGUGAACAGAAGUCUCAUUUUUCUGGUCCAAUGCUGAAUUUUCACUCUACAUUGGCAAGAUUGUCUUCUCUUUCCUGGUGGGAGACUUGGGCAAAAGGCAGACCUCCUGCUGGCUGGAACACCUGGCUAAACUUGGAAGGUAAACCAGGGAACAUGUGACCAAUGUAACCAAUAGGCUGGGUGAUGUUUUUUUUUCUUUUCCUCUUCUAUUCUUUCAAGCUGUCCUGUGCUGUAUAACCCAAAAUAAGAUCAUGCACAACUUAUGUAUAUGUUUAACUCAAAUGCAUUCCGUGUAAAGAUAAAACUGAAAUUUCAUCUUAAAGAGAUCUAUUCAUCUAGUGCUUUGGAGGCCAGCCAGGAAUGAACUCCAAAUGUGAGACAGCAACUGAAAGCACAUGCUCCAUGUGACUUAAACCUAUAUUUUCAAAUGGCCAAUAGAGCAAGCAUCAAAUGCUCUCAAGCUGCGACUCGGCUCAUAUGGAGAGAUAAACAGGGGCCCCAAACUGUGCACUGAAUAUAUAAGUCAUCAAAGCAAUUUUAAAAUCACUUCAGCAUUUGACCAGGAGCCAAUGUGGUUCCCCUGUGAUUACAGUGAUAUGCUCAGGCUACCACACUGGGUACAGUUCUGACAGCAGUGUUUUGUACAUGUUGGAACCUAUGCAGGACACCCCCACCCCCACUUGCUCCUCCAAGGAAAAACCAUAGUGAAGCAUUACAAUGGUGUAUCUGUGAGAUCACCAACACGUGGGCACCAGUCAACUGUGAGGGCAUUGAUGAAAUUCUGGUGACUGAGCGAAAGAGCUCAAGACCCCAGCGUGGAUGGUAUGGUCCCAGUCACAUUCACAACAAGCGAAAGGAGCCAUCAUCUCUGAAUCUACAAAUAAUUGAGAACAGGCUUCUUCUAAGGAUGGGGGAUAUUUUUGUUUAUGGAGAGAGGGUCAGGACAGAGGGAGAAUGACAGUGACCAAAACACCAUUGCAUGCUCUUAUAUUUUUAAUCUUUAUAAGAGAAAAUAAAACAAAUCUUACUCACCAGAGCCCUUUUGACAUUGAUAUUUUCCCUCUUUAUAAGAAUUCCAAUUCUGUCUCUUUUUCUUACUCUAAGAAAUUCUCUUGCUUCUUCAAGGUUUAGAGAAGACCUGGUGUGAAAACAGGAUGGAGGAAAAUGGGGGCCUGAUACACCCAGUUUUGCUUUUAUCAUUGAACUUGUCUUUGACUCUUUCAUUUUUUUUUCCACUGGAGUUUCAGAAAUAAUCACUUGUUUCUCCUUGGGGAAACCAACAAUCGCUUGUUUCUUCUUGGGGAAACCAGAAGAGACCAGUGUCUCACAGCUGUGAUUCUGAUGCUGUGAUACUGUUCCGCUGUAACAGGCUCAAAGCCAGAUUUUCUCCUCAGCCAUCAUUUCUCCACCUUUCAACCUCAGGCUCAUCAUCUACAACCAUUGCUUUUGCACUUGGCUGCCAUCUGGCACGUCUGGAGCGCUGCCCUCCAUUUCUUCUCUAGCAUCUCUGUGUGAUGCUUUAGUCACUGCAGGCUCCUUGGCUCUGCUCUGGUCCAUCAUCAUGUCCCUGGUCCUCAGGGUCCAGGGAGAGGCAGGGGACAGAGGAAUGGGCUCCCUACUCAAGCAGGCACACAACAGAGACUUUGUUCUUAGGCUCAGCUCCCCCGGUGGACCAAGUGCUAUGUACAUUCCUGUGCCUGGGUAAAUAAUUCCUACGAUUGCCGAAGCUGCUGGAGCACAGCCCAGGUGAAAUGUUACUACAUGAAGGUCACAGAUAUGAUGUGGCCUGCUCCCUGUGGAACCUUCCCAGGAAAGGCACAGUCAUGGAAAACUGCUCUUCUUUCCUCCCAGGGUAUGAGGAACGGGCUUAGAUAGCAUCUCUGGGGAGACAAAUAUCUUCAUGGUCAGAUCAUGCUGAUCUGAACAUCCAAAUUCUCUUUCAUGACUUUGGAGUCCCUCCAUGAGCUCCCCACCUUUCUGAACUCACCCCCAGGCUCCAUCCCCCUCCCCUUUAAGUCCCAGAUACACAGGCUCUCUGCACUUCACUCUUCUCUCUGCCUAGAAUAUUCUUCUCAUGUAUCUUGCCAUCUUCUUAUCACCUAGUUUUUAGCUUAAUUAUUACCUCCUCCUUAGUCCAUUGUUUUCACUUCUUACUCCAUUUUUUCCCCCCUUGGCAACUAUACCUAUAUGUAUUUAUAUUUUAAUUUUAUUUGUUUCCAUGUCUUUUCCCUCCCCUGAUAGAAUAAGCUUCAGGCAGUAAGCUUGUUGUCCUGUUUGUGAGA
ensembl:lncRNA